rnacentral:rRNA from 1 species
UACGUAGGUGGCAAGCGUUGUCCGGAAUUAUUGGGCGUAAAGCGCGCGCAGGUGGUUCCUUAAGUCUGAUGUGAAAGCCCACGGCUCAACCGUGGAGGGUCAUUGGAAACUGGGGAACUUGAGUGCAGAAGAGGAAAGUGGAAUUCCAAGUGUAGCGGUGAAAUGCGUAGAGAUUUGGAGGAACACCAGUGGCGAAGGCGACUUUCUGGUCUGUAACUGACACUGAGGCGCGAAAGCGUGGGGAGCAAACAGGAUUAGAAACCCGCGUAGUCC